rnacentral:piRNA from 1 species
UGACAAAAUACAAAAUCAGCUUGAGGGAG